CAAGGGCUGUGAGGGGUGCGCCUUGCCAUUCUCUCGCCUGCAGGCUUGAGGGACGCUGAGGGGGAGAGGGGGACCAGGAUCUACCGCUUCCACGAGGCCAACUCGCAUUUCAUUGGGAGGUUCACGCUUUCAUCGGUGACAAGAUGUGCAUUUCAUAUUUUUGCCAAAGGAUCCAGUGAUUCAUCACAUUGACUCUUCGGCUGUGCAUACUUGGCAAAAAUCCAGCUAUCAUCCAUCCCACCGAGUACUGUCUAUCCUGAGUAGCAGUGGCAAUGCAAGUUCUCCAAGGACAGAGGUCUUUUCCAUCACUUGCUGCAUCAUCAACUACCAAAUCUACUAACCUGGAGAGGACUGGGAACUC